rnacentral:rRNA from 1 species
GCUUAAAAUCCAAAGGACUUGACGGUGUCCCACCCCUCUAGAGGAGCCUGUUCUAUAAUCGAUAACCCCCGCUACACCUCACCACUUCUUGCUCUACACAGCCUGUAUACCUCCGUCGCAAGCCUGCCACAUGAAUGCUGUACAGCAAGCUUAAUGACCAAUCCGCCAACACGUCAGGUCAAGGUGCAGCCCAUGAAGUGGAAAACAAUGGGCUACAAUUUCUAAUCUAGAACAAACGAAUAACUACCUGAAACCGUGGUCAUGAAGGUGGAUUUAGUAGUAAGGGGGGAAAAUAGCGCCCCCCUUAACAGCGGCCCUGGGACGCGUACAAACCGCCCGUCACCCUCUUCAACAGCCCCUAAAAGUACAUAACACCACAUUAGCACUUCAGAAGAGGCAAGUCGUAACAUGGUAAGCGUACUGGAAAGUGCGCUUGGACAAACAAAAUGUAGCUUAGUAAAGCCCCCCGCUUACACCGAGAAGUCAUCUGUUAGACCCAGAUCAUUUUGAGCC